rnacentral:rRNA from 1 species
CAGGCGUCGAGCGGCGGACGGGUGAGUAACGCGUAGGAAUCUACCCAGUAGUGGGGGAUAGCCCGGGGAAACUCGGAUUAAUACCGCAUACGCCCUAAGGGGGAAAGGCCGGGAUCUUCGGACCGGUCGCUAUUGGAUGAGCCUGCGUUGGAUUAGCUUGUUGGUGGGGUAAAGGCCUACCAAGGCGACGAUCCAUAGCUGGUCUGAGAGGAUGAUCAGCCACACUGGAACUGAGACACGGUCCAGACUCC